rnacentral:rRNA from 1 species
CACACCGCCCGUCACACCAUGGGAGUCAGUUGCUCCAGAAGUGCUUGCGCUAACCGUAAGGAGGCAGGGCACCAAGGAGUGGUUGGUAACUGGGGUG